AACUUCUCAAAGACUCAAACCCUAAACCCCAAAUUGACCUCCACGCUCUUCUCGUCUCGAAAAAUCUAUUCGGGUAGAACCAGGCGAGUUGCUUACCUGGGUGCGGAACAGCAAACGGAUUUUGAGAUUCUGUUAAGGAGAAUUAACGGCUACGGUUACAAGACUAGCUUGCUAUCCAAGUAAGUACUUGAAUUUCUUGUUAACAUAGGAUUGCGGUUUCCUAUUCCCUCAAGGAUUUUAUGUUUAUAUAUUCUUUGCGUAGAAAGAAAGACCCACUUUGUUAUCAUUCGAUUGAACUCGCUAUUGAAGAGGUAACAAAUUUUGUUCUUGUGAUUUUUGGUCUUUUAGGGUUUUCGAUUUUUCGGUUGCCUAUACUGCUAUCAUAUACAAUAAACUGCCAUCACUAGGUAAGCUAUGGAAGAGCGGAGAUAUAAAUAUAGGAAGGAAGUAGCAUCUGAUAGGAGUCGGUAUUGCGAAAAGCAGAGGGACAAAGAUAGAAGUAGGAGAAACGGUGAGAGUCGACGUUUUGAGAGAGAGAAGAAUUGUGAUGAUGAGGACAGGUCUUGUUGGGAGAGGGAGAGAGCUAGAAAGAAGAAAAGGGACAGGGAACGAGAAAUAGAGGUAGAAAAUCAAAGGGGGGAGAGGGAGGAGAGGAAAAGGGACAUAAACCAAAGGAAGAGAGAGAGGAGUAAGGAUGUCGAUUGUGAUGAUUUCGUUGAUGAGGAUGUUAGGGAGCAUGAUACGAAGCGGCGUAGGAGAGAUGUUGGUGGUGCGAGGCCUAGAAAGAAUAGUGAAGAAGAGAACAAGGCAACACGCCGAGAGGAGUUAGAGGAUGAAGAUGAAAUGGAGAAGCGGAGGCGGAGAGUGCAGCAGUGGCAUGAGCGAGUAAAGGGAGAAGCUCAUGGCGACAAGUGUAUGGAAGGGAAUGUUGAUGAACUCAAGUCUGCAGAGACCUGGACUCUAUCUGAUGAUGAUAAUAAAGAAUUACGAGGUGAUUCCAUGUUGGUAGGUUCUGAGAAUGUAAGAGCUGCAACUGAGCCUGCUUGGCAGAAUGGAGAUGAUGCUACUGGGGAUGAGGAACUUGAUCCGUUAGAUGCCUAUAUGAAUCUUGUGGUUUUGCCUCAGGUUAAUGGUACUGACAAUAAAGAUAGAACAGACACAAAGCCAAGGAGAAUUCCAAAUAAGUCAAUAGGCAGAAUACUUCCUGGGGAGGAUUCCGAUUCGGAUUACGGGGACCUUGAGAAUGAUGAUGUUUCCUUAGCAAAUGACAACAUCAUGAAACCUGAGAAAUUUUCUCAAGUUGACCACUCAAAGAUACAUUAUCAACCAUUUCGUAGAAAUUUUUAUAUAGAAGUGAAGGAUAUCUCACGGAUGAGUGCAGAAGAGGUGUCUACAUACCGGAAUCAAUUGGAAUUGAAGAUAAAUGGCAAAGAUGUGCCAAAGCCCAUCAAGACCUGGCCCCAAACUGGACUAACAACUAAAACAUUGGAAGUAAUAAAGAAGCUCAACUUUGAAAAGUCCUUGCCAAUUCAGGCUCAGGCAUUGCCUGUAAUUAUGAGUGGUCGAGACUGCAUUGGCAUUGGAAAAACUGGAUCAGGCAAAACCCUUGCAUAUGUGCUGCCAAUGCUGAGGCAUAUCAAGGACCAGGCACCUGCUGUAUCUGGAGAUGGACCUGUUGGGCUUAUAAUGGCUCCCACGAGAGAGCUUGUUCAGCAGAUUCACAGUGACAUUAAGAAGUUUUCCAAGGUACUGGGUCUCAGGUGUGUGCCUGUGUAUGGAGGUGACGAUGUUGCGCAAAAAAUCGGUGAAUUGAAGCAUGGUGCAGACAUUGUUGUCUGUACUCCUGGUAGGAUGAUUGACCUACUUUCCAAAAAUGGAGGGAAAAUUACUAACUUGCAUAGAGUAACCUAUCUGGUUCUGGAUGAGGCUGAUCGAAUGUUUGACUGUGGUUUUGAACCUCAAAUCAGCCAAAUUGUUCAAGAUAUUCGCCCAGAUCGUCAGACUGUUUUAUUCUCUGCUACUUUCCCUCACCAGGUUGAGCUUUUGGCGCGCAAAGUCUUCCGCGUUCAAGAUAAACCUGUGCAUAUACAAGUUGGCGGCAGGAGUGUUGUGAACAAGGACAUAAUGCAAAUAGUUGAAGUAAGGCCGAAAGAUGAAAGAUUUUUGAGGUUGUUAGAGCUACUUGGUCAAUGGUAUGAAAAAGGAAAAAUUUUGAUAUUUGUACAGACCCAUGACCAGUGUGAUACAUUGUUUACGGAUUUGCUUAAGCAUGGGUAUCCUUGUCUCUCACUUCAUGCGGGAAAAGAUCAGACAGAUCGCCAGUCCACUAUAUCUGAUUUUAAGAGCAAUGUUUGUAACGUGUUGGUUGCAACAAGUGUUGCUGCCAGAGGGUUAGAUGUGAAGGAGCUUGAGGUGGUUAUCAAUUUUGAUGUUCCGAAUCACUAUGAGGACUAUGUUCACCGUGUUGGUCGUACUGGCCGAGCUGGGCGUAAAGGCUGUGCUAUAUCAUUUAUCUCUGUGGAAGAUGAGAGGUAUGCUCCCGAUCUGGUCAAAGCAUAGUAGCUGUCGGGGCAAGUUGUUCCAGAGGACCUGAAAUCACUUGCUAGUAAUUUUAUGGAAAAAGUGAACCAGGGACUUGAGCGUGCACACGGGACUGGUUAUGGGGGAAGUGGUUUCAAAUUUAAUGAAGAGGAAGAUGAAAUGAGGAAAGCAGCGAAGAAAGCACAGGCAAAAGAAUAUGUUUGCGAGGAUGACGUGUCAGACUUAGAAGAUGGAGAUGAUGGUAUCCAACAAGAAGGGGACGAUAUCUCACCGCAAGGUGCCCUUACUCAUAUACAAGCCAUUACUAAAAUCCCUGUUGUUGGAAAUGAUGGCACAGCUCGAGCAUUAGCAUUUGCAAAUGAUUUGAACUUGCUGCAUAACCUGGCAAAGAUGAAAGGAAUGCCAGAACACUAUGCAGAGUUGGAGAUAAAUGAUUUUCCUCAGACUGCUAGAUGGAAGAUUACUCGUAAUGAAACUCGUCAAUAUAUUUCAGAAUUGACUAAAGCUGCCAUUACACCCAAGGGGCAGUAUUUCCCACCAGGCAAGGUUCAAGGACCAGGAGAUCGCAAGCUCUACUUAUGUAUCGAGGGUCCUACUGAACAGUCUGUCAAGAAUGCUAUAGCAGAAUUAAAAUGUGCAUUGGAAGAUACAGCAAACCAGACAUUCUCACUUCCUGACAGAGCUGGGCAAGGCAGAUACCAAAUCAUACAAGUAAGUGUAAUAACUUAAUAACAGUAAUCAGUUCCUGGUUAGGUUUUCUUUGAGUUUCAUACUGAGUGGUUCUAGUUCACUGGUUAACUAAUCCUUUGAUAAUCUAUUUUUUGUUAAGCACGUUGAUUUUGUUAUCAAUUUGUCUUGCUUUUGACAAUGCUCUACCCCCCUGGUAAUGACUUCUUUUCUUCUUCUUCUGUUCAUGUUCCCAUGGUGCGACGUGAGGGGAGUUUCAAGCAUAUGCUCGGAUGUUCAAUAUCGUCUCUUCCCAUGACAUACCUCUACAAGAGAUCCUACCUCAGUCUCCUCAUAUUACUCUUGUUCUUGUUUGUUUGAUUUCUAUGAGUUUGGGGAUCUGUUAUUACUUUACUCAAAAACGGGUUCCUUUUUCUUUUUCAGGUUUUGUGAAUUCCUUCCUGGAGCCAAGUGCUGUUAUACAGAGACGCUGUUACAGAAGCAGUAAAUUACAUGUUUUGACUUUUUCCUCAUUUUUUUAUUGGGU